AUUGAACGCUGGCGGCAGGCCUAACACAUGCAAGUCGAGCGGAUGAAGGGAGCUUGCUCCUGGAUUCAGCGGCGGACGGGUGAGUAAUGCCUAGGAAUCUGCCUAGUAGUGGGGGAUAACGUCCGGAAACGGGCGCUAAUACCGCAUACGUCCUGAGGGAGAAAGUGGGGGAUCUUCAGACCUCACGCUAUCAGAUGAGCCUAGGUCGGAUUAGCUAGUUGGUGGGGUAAAGGCCUACCAAGGCGACGAUCCGUAACUGGUCUGAGAGGAUGAUCAGUCACACUGGAACUGAGACACGGUCCAGACUCCUACGGGAGGCAGCAGUGGGGAAUAUUGGACAAUGGGCGAAAGCCUGAUCCAGCCAUGCCGCGUGUGUGAAGAAGGUCUUCGGAUUGUAAAGCACUUUAAGUUGGGAGGAAGGGCAGUAAGUUAAUACCUUGCUGUUUUGACGUUACCAACAGAAUAAGCACCGGCUAACUUCGUG
rnacentral:rRNA from 1 species